AACGAACGCUGGCGGCAUGCCUAACACAUGCAAGUCGAACGAGACCUUCGGGUCUAGUUGCGCACGUGUGCGUACCGCGUGGGAACCUGCCCUUAGGUUCGCAAUAACUCCCCGUAAGGGGUGCUAAUACCGGUUAAUGUCUUCGGACCAAAGAUUUCUCGCCUUUGGAUGGGCCCUCGUUGGAUUAGCCAGUUGGUAGGGUAAAAGCCCGCCAAGGCGACGAUCCAUAGCUGGUCUGUGAGGAUGAUCUGCCACACUGGGACUGAGACACGGACCAGACUGCGAGGGGAGGGAGGAGUGGGGAAUAUUGGAGGAGGGGCGAAAGUCUGAUACAGCAAUGCCGGGUGAGUGAGGAAGGCCUUAGGGUUGUAAAGCUCUUUUACACGAGAUGAUAAUGACAGUACCGGGAGAAGAAGCACCGGCUAACUACGUG
rnacentral:rRNA from 1 species